rnacentral:rRNA from 1 species
GAUGAACGCUGGCGGCGUGCCUAAUACAUGCAAGUCGAGCGAACAGACGAGAGUGCUUGCACUCUCUGACGUUAGCGGCGGACGGGUGAGUAACACGUGGGUAACCUACCUAUAAGACUGGGAUAACUUCGGGAAACCGGAGCUAAUACCGGAUAAUAUUUAGCUUCGCAUGAAGCAAUAGUGAAAGACGGUUCUGCUGUCACUUAUAGAUGGACCCGCGGUGUAUUAGCUAGUUGGUGAGGUAACGGCUCACCAAGGCAACGAUACAUAGCCGACCUGAGAGGGUGAUCGGCCACACUGGGACUGAGACACGGCCCAGACUCCUACGGGAGGCAGCAGUAGGGAAUCUUCCGCAAUGGACGAAAGUCUGACGGAGCAAUGCCGCGUGAGUGAAGAAGGUUUUCGGAUCGUAAAACUCUGUUGUAAGGGAAGAACAAGUACGUUAGUAACUGAACGUACCUUGACGGUACCUUACCAGAAAGCCACGGCGAACUACGU